AUAAAAAGUGAAACCAUACAAACUUUUUUUUUUUAUUUAUAUUUGGAUCUGUGUCCGUGUGUACUUAUUGAUUCUGGUAAGACCUUUUAAUCUACAGGUUGAAAGUCGACUAUAAAUGAAUUUAAAAUAGAAGCAUCUGUUACUGUAAAAUUUCCAUAAAUUUAUGGUGAAAUAUUUCAAUUUUUAAAUAAUAUCAUUCGUGUAUUUAAAACUAUUAAUAGUUGGUACUCCAGAUCAUAAACAGCAAGCAAGACAUUUAGUAAAUAUAUAAAAAAAAAGAACACAAUUUAUUCAUUUACAUGAGCAUGACAAAAUGUUAAGCCUUUAUUAGUAUUGUGUAGGGAAAAGUACCAAAAUGGGGGUUGUAGGCAACUUUCCUUCCUGGUUUAUAAAAUUCCCUGGUGUGUGCAUAAUGGGGCUUUGAACAAUUGUAUAUUAUGUCCAUACACAAAGAUAUGUCACUGAAGGAUAUUAAAUCAAACAAGAAAGCUGCUUUGUUUUAUGUUUCACAUAUUUUUGGAUGUUCCUUCAGAUUUGAACACUAAUAGAUCCUAGACCAAUCCUGCAUGAAGUCAGGAGUUCAAAUCUGGGACUAUCAUUAACAUUGGAUGGCAGUCCAGGUCACA